CCUACGGGGGGCUGCAGUAAGGAAUAUUGGUCAAUGGAGGAAACUCUGAACCAGCCAUCCCGCGUGAAGGAUGAAGGGGCUCUGCCUUGUAAACUUCUUUUGUCUGGGGCGAAAAAGCUCGAUUUAUCGAGAACUGACGGUACCAGAAGAAUAAGCACCGGCUAACUUCGUGCCAGCAGCCGCGGUACUACGGAGGGUGCAAGCGUUAUCCGGAAUAAAGGGGUUUAAGGGGUGCGUAGGCGGCAGAGUAGAAAGGCUGGGGCUUAACCAUGGAAUUGCCAUUGAGACUGCAGAGCUUGAGUGAGGUUGAGGUUGGCGGAAUGUGACAUGUAGCGGUGAAAUGCUUAGAUAUGUCAUGGAACACCGAUUGCGAAGGCAGCUGACUGGGCCUAUAUUGACGCUGAGGCACGAAAGCGUGGGGAGCGAACAGGAUUAGAUACCCCUGUAGUC
rnacentral:rRNA from 1 species